CCAUAUUGUUGAAUUAAUAAACAUCGUUCCUCAGUGUUUAAUCUUUUGUUCUUCUUUACAAUUUAAACCUUGUUUUUCGGUGUGUGAUCUAGUAUACUUCGAUAUUGUCAUUACAAUUUCGUUCUCUACAAUCCGGUUUGAAAUUAACGUGUGUUAUAGGAAGCUCCAAUACCCUCAAUGAAUAAUCCAUCAACAGGGACCUGAUUACCUGCCUGUAAACACACAAUAUCGCCACCCACAACGUCAGAAUCCAAAAUUUGUGGCAUUUUCCCGCGUCGAACAACACAAGCAUAUUUUUCAUUCUUUCACAUCCCUAAGCCCUUCAACAGGUCCGUUUGUCUUGAUUGCAAGUACCACAGACAGUACAGCACAACAAAAAAGAAGGAUCAUUGUAAUAUCCUUAAAACCUUGCAAAGGUAGCCGACAGAAGCCAUCUACCACCGAGCAAGCGCGGUUGCUUGUCCAAGUAUAAAUUGAGGCAAAAUGCUUUGUGGCGGCAGUAAGGUUCCACUGCACUCCCUCUUAUUCCUGUUCUGCAUUACUUUCUAAUGCACCCAUUAAUCUCCUGGCAUUCCAACAAAUAGCUAAAGAGAGUCUCUCAUGUCGUUCGCUUGCACUAAUUUUGCUAGACAUUCCUGUUAAUUCUGAACAUGGGGACUUCUGCUGAGCAUCGAAUCAGCCAUGGGGCAAGAAAGAAUUGUUCAUGAACUGCCUUUUUUGGGUUCAGUUUACAAAAGUAUUUACGUUUUAUAGUUUUAUCUAAAGAGAAGGUUC
rnacentral:lncRNA from 1 species